rnacentral:rRNA from 1 species
CACGUAGUUGGCCGGUGCUUCUUCUGUAGGUACCGUCAUUUCUUCCCUACUGAAAGCGGUUUACAACCCGAAGGCCUUCAUCCCGCACGCGGCGUUGCUGUAUCAGGCCUGCGCCCAUUGUGCAAUAUUCCCU